AUUGAACGCUGGCGGCAGGCCUAACACAUGCAAGUCGAGCGGAUGAAGGGAGCUUGCUCCUGGAUUCAGCGUCGCACGGGGGAGUAAUGCCUAGGAAUCUGCCUGGUAGUGGGGGAUAACGUCCGGAAACGGGCGCUAAUACCGCAUACGUCCUGAGGCAGAAAGUGGGGGAUCUUCGGACCUCACGCUAUCAGAUGAGCCUAGGUCGGAUUAGCUAGUUGGUGGGGUAAAGGCCUACCAAGGCAACGAUCCGUAACUGGUCUGAGAGGAUGAUCAGUCACACUGGAGCUGAGACGCGGUCCAGACUCCUACGGGAGGCAGCAGUGGGGAAUAUUGGACAAUGGGCGAAAGCCUGAUCCAGCCAUGCCGCGUGUGUGAAGACGGUCUUCGGAUUGUGAAGCACUUUAAGUUGGGAGGAAGGGCAGUAAGUUAAUACCUUGCUGUUUUGACGUUACCAACAGAAUAAGCACCGGCUAACUUCGUG
rnacentral:rRNA from 1 species